UCCAUUCACACGAAAAAAGAGAAGCUCUUCAAAUACAUAUACGUGCACUCUUAUAUAAAGAUUCCUUUAUCUUUGAGAGUGAAAGAUCAAGGGACACCAUGUCUGCGAUGAAAGGUGGAGAUUGCGACAAAUGGCUUCAAGUUUCGAGGGAUAAAGAGAAGAGAAAUAUGGAAGGAGUAGAAAUAAAAGCUGAUGAGAAAUGCAAAUUCAAAGAAGCAGAGAGGGCUGAAAAGCUUUUCCAUCUCAUCUCUUGGGGUCCAAAUAAAUAAUAUAUUGUUGUCUCCUAAAUAAGAGAUUAAUCUCUCGGUUGUAUGCAUGGAACAUUCAAUUUAAUUAAAAAAAUUAUUUUAAAAUAUUAAAAAUUAUAUAUAUUUUAAAACAAAUAUUAAUAUGAAUUGAUCCUUCCAUAAUCCUUAGUUUUGGUGUGUUUUUAGCUCUAAGGUUAUAAGUAUGACCUAGGUCUUUUUUUU
rnacentral:lncRNA from 1 species